rnacentral:rRNA from 1 species
AGAGUUUGAUCCUGGCUCAGGACGAACGCUGGCGGCGCGCCUAACACAUGCAAGUCGAACGAGAGAUGAGGAGCUUGCUCUUCAAAUCGAGUGGCGAACGGGUGAGUAACGCGUGAGGAACCUGCCUCAAAGAGGGGGACAACAGUUGGAAACGACUGCUAAUACCGCAUAAGCCCACGGCUCGGCAUCGAGCAGAGGGAAAAGGAGCAAUCCGCUUUGAGAUGGCCUCGCGUCCGAUUAGCUAGUUGGUGAGGUAACGGCCCACCAAGGCGACGAUCGGUAGCCGGACUGAGAGGUUGAACGGCCACAUUGGGACUGAGACACGGCCCAGACUCCUACGGGAGGCAGCAGUGGGGAAUAUUGCACAAUGGGGGAAACCCUGAUGCAGCGACGCCGCGUGGAGGAAGAAGGUCUUCGGAUUGUAAACUCCUGUUGUUGAGGAAGAUAAUGACGGUACUCAACAAGGAAGUGACGGCUAACUACGUGCCAGCAGCCGCGGUAAAACGUAGGUCACAAGCGUUGUCCGGAAUUACUGGGUGUAAAGGGAGCGCAGGCGGGAGAACAAGUUGGAAGUGAAAUCCAUGGGCUCAACCCAUGAACUGCUUUCAAAACUGUUUUUCUUGAGUAGUGCAGAGGUAGGCGGAAUUCCCGGUGUAGCGGUGGAAUGCGUAGAUAUCGGGAGGAACACCAGUGGCGAAGGCGGCCUACUGGGCACUAACUGACGCUGAGGCUCGAAAGCAUGGGUAGCAAACAGGAUUAGAUACCCUGGUAGUCCAUGCCGUAAACGAUGAUUACUAGGUGUGGGAGGAUUGACCCCUUCCGUGCCGCAGUUAACACAAUAAGUAAUCCACCUGGGGAGUACGACCGCAAGGUUGAAACUCAAAGGAAUUGACGGGGGCCCGCACAAGCAGUGGAGUAUGUGGUUUAAUUCGA